rnacentral:rRNA from 1 species
AUUGAACGCUGGCGGCAGGCCUAACACAUGCAAGUCGAGCGGAUGAAGGGAGCUUGCUCCUGGAUUCAGCGGCGGACGGGUGAGUAAUGCCUAGGAAUCUGCCUGGUAGUGGGGGAUAACGUCCGGAAACGGGCGCUAAUACCGCAUACGUCCUGAGGUAGAAAGGGGGGGAUCUUCGGACCUCACGCUAUCAGAUGAGCCUAGGUCGGAUUAGCUAGUUGGUUGGGUAAAGGCCUACCAAGGCGACGAUCCGUAACUGGUCUGAGAGGAUGAUCAGUCGCACUGGAACUGAGACACGGUCCAGACUCCUACGGGAGGCAGCAGUGGGGAAUAUUGGACAAUGGGCGAAAGCCUGAUCCAGCCAUGCCGCGUGUGUGAAGAAGGUCUUCGGAUUGUAAAGCACUUUAAGUUGGGAGGAAGGGCAGUAAGUUAAUACCUUGCUGUUUUGACGUUACCAACAGAAUAAGCACCGGCUAACUUCGUG